AGAGUUUGAUUCUGGCUCAGGAUGAACGCUGGCGGCGUGCCUAACACAUGCAAGUCGAGCGAUUUACUUCGGUAAAGAGCGGCGGACGGGUGAGUAACGCGUGGGUAACCUGCCUCAUACACAUGGAUAACAUACCGAAAGGUAUGCUAAUACAGGAUAAUAUAAGAGAUUCACAUGGAUUUCUUAUCAAAGCUCCGGCGGUAUGAGAUGGACCCGCGUCUGAUUAGCUAGUUGGUAAGGUGAUGGCUUACCAAGGCGACGAUCAGUAGCCGACCUGAGAGGGUGAUCGGCCACAUUGGAACUGAGACACGGUCCAAACUCCUACGGGAGGCAGCAGUGGGGAAUAUUGCACAAUGGGCGAAAGCCUGAUGCCAGCAACGCCGCGUGAGUGAUGAAGGCCUUCGGGUCGUAAAACUCCGUCCUCAAGGAAGAUAAUGACGGUACUUGAGGAGGAAGCCCCGGCUAACUACGUGCCAGCAGCAGC
rnacentral:rRNA from 1 species